AGUGAACGCUGGCGGUAGGCCUAACACAUGCCAGUCGAACGGCAGCACAGUAAGAGCUUGCUCUUACGGGUGGCGAGUGGCGGACGGGUGAGGAAUACAUCGGAAUCUACUUUUUCGUGGGGGAUAACGUAGGGAAACUUACUCUAAUACCGCAUACGACCUACGGGUGAAAGCAGGGGAUCUUCGGACCUUGCGCGAUUGAAUGAGCCGAUGUCGGAUUAGCUAGUUGGCGGGGUAAAGGCCCACCAAGGCGACGAUCCGUAGCUGGUCUGAGAGGAUGAUGAGCCACACUGGAACUGAGACACGGUCCAGACUCCUAAGGGAGGCAGCAGUGGGGAAUAUUGGACAAUGGGCGCAAGCCUGAUCCAGCCAUACCGCGUGGGUGAAGAAGGCCUUCGGGUUGUAAAGCCCUUUUGUUGGGAAAGAAAAGCAGCAGGUUAAUACCCCGCUGUUCUGACGGUACCCAAAGAAUAAGCACCGGCUAACUUCGUG
rnacentral:rRNA from 1 species